ACGAGCGCUAGCGGCGUGCCUAAUACAUGCAAGUCGAGCGCGGGAAGCGGACUCGUCACCCUUCGGGGUGUCUAGUCCGUGGAACGAGCGGCGGAUGGGUGAGUAUCACGUGGGCAACCUGCCUGUAAGAUUGGGAUAACUCGCGGAAACGUGAGCUAAUACCGAAUGAAGUCUUUCACCGCCUGGUGAAAGGAUGAAAGAUGGCUUUUAGCUAUCACUUACAGAUGGGCCCGCGGCGCAUUAGCUAGUUGGUGGGGUAAAGGCCUACCAAGGCGACGAUGCGUAGCCGACCUGAGAGGGUGAUCGGCCACACUGGGACUGAGACACGGCCCAGACUCCUACGGGAGGCAGCAGUAGGGAAUCUUCCGCAAUGGACGAAAGUCUGACGGAGCAACGCCGCGUGAAGUGAUGAAGGUCUUCGGAUCGUAAAACUCUGUUGUCAGGGAAGAACAAGUUGUGUUCUAACAGGACAUGACCUUGACGGUACCUGACCAGAAAGCCCCGGCUAACUACGUGCCAGCCGCGGC
rnacentral:rRNA from 1 species